UGCCUCGUGGCGCAGUUGGUUAGCGCGUGCAGCCGUUAACCGCGAGGUCGUAGGUUUGAGCCCUGCCGAGGCAG